GAUGAAGAACGCAGCGAAAUGCGAUAAGUAAUGUGAAUUGCAGAAUUCAGUGAAUCAUCGAAUCUUUGAACGCACAUUGCGCCCGCCAGUAUUCUGGCGGGCAUGCCUGUCUGAGCGUCAUUUCAACCCUCAUGCCCCUAGGGCGUGGUGUUGGGGAUCGGCCAAAGCCCGCGAGGGACGGCCGGCCCCUAAAUCUAGUGGCGGACCCGUCGUGGCCUCCUCUGCGAAGUAGUGAUAUUCCGCAUCGGAGAGCGAUGAGCCCCUGCCGUUAAACCCCCAACUUUCCAAGGUUGACCUCGGAUCAGGUAGGAUUACCCGCUGAACUUAAGCAUAUCAAUAAGCGGAGGA
rnacentral:misc_RNA from 1 species